rnacentral:rRNA from 1 species
GGGCCCGCACAAGCGGUGGAGUAUGUGGUUUAAUUCGAUGAUACGCGAGGAACCUUACCAGGGCUUAAAUGCAGAGCGACAGAGGUGGAAACACCUCCUUCUUCGGACGGUCUGCAAGGUGCUGCAUGGUUGUCGUCAGCUCGUGCUGUGAAGUGUCGGGUUAAGUCCCAUAACGAGCGCAACCCCUAUUUCUAGUUGCCAGCGGUUCGGCCGGGGACUCUAGAGAAACUGCCAGCGUAAGCUGUGAGGAAGGUGGGGAUGACGUCAAAUCAUCACGGCCCUUACGUCCUGGGCUACACACGUGCUACAAUGGUAGGGACAGAGAGUUGCCAACCCGCGAGGGUGAGCUAAUCUUCAAAGCCGGUCUCAGUUCGGAUCGGAGUCUGCAACUCGACUCCGUGAAGCUGGAAUC